rnacentral:rRNA from 1 species
AGUGAGUAUGAGAAGGGCAUUCGGUGGAUGCCUUGGCACUAGGAGGCGACGAAGGACGUAGCACGCUGCGAUAAGCUGUGGGGAGCCGCGAGCAGGCAUUGAUCCGCAGAUUUCCGAAUGGGGCAACCCACCCAGCGAUGGGUAUCGUGAUCUGAAUACAUAGGGUUACGAGGCGAACCCGGGGAACUGAAACAUCUCAGUACCUGGAGGAAAAGACAUCAAUUGAGAUUCUGCUAGUAGUGGCGAGCGAACGCGGAACAGGCCAGUCAUUUUUGAAGAAGAAGCAGAACAGUCUGGAAAGGCUGACCAUAGUGGGUGACAGUCCCGUAUGUGUAGUGUCUUUAAGAAUGCUUGAGUAGGGCGGGGCACGUGAAACCCUGUCUGAACAUGGGGGGACCACCCUCCAAGCCUAAAUACUCCCUAGUGACCGAUAGCGAACAAGUACCGUGAGGGAAAGGUGAAAAGCACCCCGACGAGGGGAGUGAAAGAGACCUGAAACCGGAUGCCUACAAGCAGUCGGAGCCUCUUAUGGGGUGACGGCGUACCUUUUGUAUAAUGGGUCAGCGAGUUUCUGUUUGCAGCGAGCUUAAGCCGAUAGGUGUAGGCGUAGCGAAAGCGAGUCUGAAUAGGGCGCAUAGUUGCUGGCAGAAGACCCGAAACCGAGUGAUCUAGCCAUGGCCAGGCUGAAGGUGCGGUAACACGCACUGGAGGGCCGAACCCACGCCUGUUGAAAAAGUCGGGGAUGAGCUGUGGCUAGGGGUGAAAGGCCAAUCAAACUCGGAGAUAGCUGGUUCUCCGCGAAAUCUAUUGAGGUAGACCGUCAGGUGGUUACCCCGGGGGGUAGAGCACUGGAUGGGCUAGGGGGGCCCAAAGCCUUACCAAACCCAACCAAACUCCGAAUACCCGGAAGUAUAGCCUGGCAGACAGACAGUGGGUGCUAAGGUCCAUUGUCGAGAGGGAAACAGCCCAGACCACCAGCUAAGGCCCCCAAAUCGUGGCUAAGUGGGAAAGGAUGUGGGGAUUCCAUAACAACCAGGAGGUUGGCUUAGAAGCAGCCAUCCUUUAAAGAAAGCGUAAUAGCUCACUGGUCUAAUAGAAACCCUGCGCCGAAAAUGUAACGGGGCUCAAGCCACGUGCCGAAGCUGUGGGUGCAUAUCUAUGAUAUGCGCGGUAGCGGAGCGUUCCGUAAGUCAGUGAAGGAGACGGGGUGACCCUCUCUGGAGAUAUCGGAAGUGCGAAUGCUGACAUGAGUAGCGACAAACAGUGCGAGAAACACUGUCGCCGAAAGUCCAAGGGUUCCUGCGCAAGGUUAAUCCACGCAGGGUUAGUCGGCCCCUAAGGCGAGGGCGAGAGCCGUAGUCGAUGGGAAACAGGUGAAUAUUCCUGUACCUGCCAGAAGUGACGAAUGCGAUAUGUUGUCAGGUCUUAACGGAUUGACCUGGCUUUUGGAGCAUUCCAGGAAAUAGCUCUGGCGUAUAGACCGUACCCGAAACCGACACAGGUGGACUGGUAGAGAAUACCAAGGCGCUUGAGAGAACGAUGCUGAAGGAACUAGGCAAAUUGCUCGUGUAACUUCGGGAUAAGCGAGACCCGUUGGUGGGCAACCAUUGGCGGGUGGCACAGACCAGGGGGUAGCGACUGUUUAUUAAAAACACAGGACUCUGCGAAGUCGAAAGACGACGUAUAGGGUCUGACGCCUGCCCGGUGCCGGAAGGUUAAGAGGAGGUGUGAGAGCGCUGAAUUGAAGCCCCGGUAAACGGCGGCCGUAACUAUAACGGUCCUAAGGUAGCGAAAUUCCUUGUCGGGUAAGUUCCGACCUGCACGAAUGGCGUAACGACUUCCCCGCUGUCUCCAGCAUCGGCUCAGCGAAAUUGAAUUCCCCGUGAAGAUGCGGGGUAUCCGCGGUCAGACGGAAAGACCCUAUGAACCUUUACUGCAGCUUU